UCAGCAGCUUUGAUGUUUCUAGCCUGAAGC
rnacentral:piRNA from 1 species